rnacentral:rRNA from 1 species
UACGUAGGGGGCAAGCGUUGUCCGGAGUUACUGGGCGUAAAGCGCACGCAGGCGGUCUGCUAAGUUUGGAGUGACAGUUGGUGGCUUAACUGCCAAAGUGCUUUGAAAACUGACAGACUUGAGGGCUUCAGAGGGACACGGAAUUCCGGGUGGAGUGGCGAAAUGCGUAGAGAUCCGGAGGAACACCGAAGGCGAAGGCAGUGUCCUGGGGAGUCCCUGACGCUCAGGUGCGAAAGCCAGGGGAGCGAACGGG